ACUCCUACGGGAGGCAGCAGUAGGGAAUCUUCGGCAAUGGGCGAAAGCCUGACCGAGCAACGCCGCGUGAGCGAUGAAGGCCUUCGGGUCGUAAAGCUCUGUUGUUAGGGAAGAACAAGUAUGAGUUGAAUAAGCUCAUGCCUUGACGGUACCUAACGAGAAAGCCACGGCUAACUACGUGCCAGCAGCCGCGGUAA
rnacentral:rRNA from 1 species